rnacentral:lncRNA from 1 species
ACUUCUUUCUAAUUUCCCCAGAUAAACAACUGCAUUUUAUUCAAUAUUUUGUACAAUAUGCGAUGAAUUUUACAUCCUAAAAAUGCUCGUGGUGAGACCAUGCUGCAUGUAAAUGGAAAAUUACAAGUUUCAGCUUUUGAUACAAGAUUGCCAUGUUUGCUUUUGAUACAAGAUUGACAUGUUUUGGUGUCUACCUUAAGUACAGUGAAAACUAGCAUGGAGCGAUAAUUAUGAUUUCACUAACAUCAACAGGGAAGCAUAUUGCCCAAAAAUGGGAUAUUUACUACUGCAACCAAUUCUAUACCGAAAACACUGCCACAGAGGCAGCUAUAUGGUUAUAUAUAACAGUAGCCUUCCCUGUCAACCUUGGACAUGAUCAUGCAAAUGAAUAAUUACAAAUUUAACAUUUUAAUAUAAAGAGCACCAUGUUUUCCCGUCUACC